UGGGGAAUUUUGGACAAUGGGCGAAAGCCUGAUCCAGCAAUGCCGCGUGUGUGAAGAAGGCCUUCGGGUUGUAAAGCACUUUUGUCCGGAAAGAAAUCCUUGGCUCUAAUACAGUCGGGGGAUGACGGUACCGGAAGAAUAAGCACCGGCUAACUACGUGCCAGCAGCCGCGGUAAUACGUAGGGUGCAAGCGUUAAUCGGAAUUACUGGGCGUAAAGCGUGCGCAGGCGGUUUGCUAAGACCGAUGUGAAAUCCCCGGGCUCAACCUGGGAACUGCAUUGGUGACUGGCAGGCUAGAGUAUGGCAGAGGGGGGUAGAAUUCCACGUGUAGCAGUGAAAUGCGUAGAGAUGUGGAGGAAUACCGAUGGCGAAGGCAGCCCCCUGGGCCAAAUACUGACGCUCAUGCACAAAAGCGUGGGGGAGCAAAACAGGAUUAGAUACCCUGGUAGUCCACGCCCUAAAACGAUGUCAACUAGUUGUUGGGGAUUCAUUUCCUUAGUAACGUAGCUAACGCGUGAAGUUGACCGCCUGGGGAGUACGGUCGCAAGAUUAAAACUUAAAGGAAUUGACGGGGUCAUAGCUG
rnacentral:rRNA from 1 species